rnacentral:misc_RNA from 1 species
UGCUUGGUGUUGGGACUGGCUCUUUCUUCGGAAGAGGCCUUUCCAAAACUCAUGGGCGCCGCCGUCCGGCUCCGAGCGUAGCAAGCGAAAGCCCUCGCUUCGGUUCGUCGGUCGAUGGUCGCCGGUAAACUUCUAGAGGGGCAACCCUCUAAUAUUUACAGUUUAGCCUCGGAUCAGGUGGGGAUACCCGCUGAACUUAA